AACCUAUUGGUUUAUGACAAUUUAAAGCUGGAUGCAUAGGAUUUAAAAUUUCUCAUCACUCAAAUAAUCUGAAAGAUGUGAUAAUCACAUAAAGUUUGUGCCUUCACUAUUAAUAUCUCUCCAUGUAGAUAGUUUUAGUUUUACUUCAGGUCCAAGAGUCUUUUAAAACUGUUGAAAAUUAAUCCUGGAUCCUACAGUUCCCAUAAUGCAACCAAAAGUACAUUUCAUAAAUGUCCACCUAACACACCCUCAGUUGGUAACACUGAGUUUCUGUUCAAUUUUGUUUAAAUCUUAAGCAACAGAUUGUAAACUCAGAUCUAAUCUGAUGGUUUUCACUGUGACUGUGAUUAAUAUUACAACCCUUGUGUAAAUCAUUUACUUUUUGUGUUGUAUAAGGACUAGAAACCAAAAGUAAACCAACAACGUGGCCUUAUCUUGUCCAUGCGUCCAUUGACUCUACCUGUCAGAGAUAGUUUUUGAUUCACAAAGCAACAAGUGAAACAUUUUGGAUGUAAAAAACUCCCACUGCUUUGUAGGUGAAAUGCCUGAGCGGAAGAAGAAGCGUCCUCCCCUCACAGGGCCUCACAGCUCCUCCCCUGUGACAUCUGACAAGUCAUCUGAUCAGAAGAUCAGUUCCUGGAUCGAGCCGUCAGUCAGUUCACAGAUGAGUGCAAAUGGGUCCAAGAGUCCCAGCGGUGUCUCCAUGAAGAGUGAUGGAUCCAUGUACAGGCCAACUACCUUUGGUGUUAAGAAGUC